UGAAUGACUUCAACCUGUUUCUAGAGUGGGGUAAGGCAAGACCACCUUUGACCACUUAUCAAAGGUCACCCACUGGGUAGAGGUAAGACCAGAUUCCCGGUAUCUUAACUCCAAGCCAAUGCACAACCCAGCCUCACGCUACAUUCCUAAAGGGUCAGCGUGAUGGCUCUGCUUAGAAGUCCCUGAAGUUCCGCCUCGUCUCUCCCCACUCAUCACCAGGUUCCUCUCUCCAGUCCACAUCAUGCAACACCAGUAACAUCUGUCAUUCAUUCAUUCGGCAAACAUUAAUGUCAUCUUCUAUGGGCCUGGUUGACCCACUGCUGCUCUCAAAGACUCAGUCGAGUUAGCCAUCCACUUUUAUUCUGGACAAUACCUAAUACAAACAAAAACAGAACAGGGGCACCUGGGUGGCUCAAUAGGUUAAGCGUCCAACUCUUGAUUUCGGCUCAGGUCACGAUCUCAUGGUCGAGGGAUGGAGUGCCACAUUGGGCUCCUCACUGAGUGUGGAGCCUGCUUGGGGUUUUCUCUCUCCCUCCCUCUUUGCUUCUUCUCUACUCACAUGCACACCCUCCCUCAAAAUAAAUAAAUAAACAUUAGAAAAAGAAAUAGGACAGUACAGUGAAGCCCCACUAGCCUAUCAUUAGCUUCAACAAUUAUCAACUCAUAGCUGAUAUCGCUCUACACGGCAAGCAUCCCAAUAUUUUGAAACCAAUUUCAGACAUCGUAUUGUUUCACUGGUAUUGCAAGAAAUCAUUUUAAUGGCAUUAUCACAGUGAUAUGGAUGGAAUUGUGCCUUCCCCCCAAUUCGUAUGUUGAAGCCCUAACCCCUAAUGUGACUGUAUCUGGAGACAGAGCCUGUAAGGAGGUAAUUAAGGCUAAAUGAGGUCAUAAGGGUGGGGCCCAAAUCCCACAGAAAUAUAAGAGGAAGAGACACCAGAGAUUUCUCUCUACCCAUUAUGCAUUUGCAGAAAGAAAGGCGGAGGAGGCAGAGAGAAGUUGGCUGUCUACAGUUCAGGAAGAAAGCUCUCGCCAGAAGACGAAUCUGCCAGCACCUGGAUCAUCACGGACUUCUAGCCUCAGAACCAUGAGAAAUGAAUGGGAAGUCAGCUUCCUUGUCUUGAGAGACUCAGCCCUGUGGAGAAGCCCAUUCAACAAAGACCUGAGGCCUCAGUCGAACCACUGGGAACUGAGUCCUGUCACCAACCAUAGGAUGAAGGACAAGGUCCCGCCAGCAGGAGGGGAAAGCGAGAGCAAAGCCCGAGGCAAGCAACAGCCGGCUUCACAAGAACAAGCAGUUCUGGGUUGCACGCAUCCAUCCGACAUAAUCCUAUCAAGCUGAAGUCACCCUAAUCAAGUAUGACCGGUGUUCUAUAAGGAGAGGGAACUUUGGACACGACACAGAGGGGAAGGCCGUGUGACAAUAGAGGCAGAGACUGGGUGAUGUCGCAGCAGCUGAGGUUGAUGACACCACCAGGGGCUGGAAGACGGGAAGGAGGGUUUCUCCUCUACUGGUUUCAGAGGGAGCAGACCCUGCUGACACCUUGAUUUUGGCCUCUGAACAGUGAGACAAUAAACUUGUUGUUUUAAAUCA